GACGAACGCUGGCGGCGUGCUUAACACAUGCAAGUCGAACGGAAAGGCCCUGCUUUUGUGGGGUGCUCGAGUGGCGAACGGGUGAGUAACACGUGAGUAACCUGCCCUUGACUUUGGGAUAACUUCAGGAAACUGGGGCUAAUACCGGAUAGGAGCUCCUGCUGCAUGGUGGGGGUUGGAAAGUUUCGGCGGUUGGGGAUGGACUCGCGGCUUAUCAGCUUGUUGGUGGGGUAGUGGCUUACCAAGGCUUUGACGGGUAGCCGGCCUGAGAGGGUGACCGGCCACAUUGGGACUGAGAUACGGCCCAGACUCCUACGGGAGGCAGCAGUGGGGAAUAUUGCACAAUGGGCGGAAGCCUGAUGCAGCAACGCCGCGUGCGGGAUGACGGCCUUCGGGUUGUAAACCGCUUUCGCCUGUGACGAAGCGUGAGUGACGGUAAUGGGUAAAGAAGCACCGGCUAACUACGUGCCAGCAGCCGCGGUGAUACGUAGGGUGCGAGCGUUGUCCGGAUUUAUUGGGCGUAAAGGGCUCGUAGGUGGUUGAUCGCGUCGGAAGUGUAAUCUUGGGGCUUAACCCUGAGCGUGCUUUCGAUACGGGUUGACUUGAGGAAGGUAGGGGAGAAUGGAAUUCCUGGUGGAGCGGUGGAAUGCGCAGAUAUCAGGAGGAACACCAGUGGCGAAGGCGGUUCUCUGGGCCUUUCCUGACGCUGAGGAGCGAAAGCGUGGGGAGCGAACAGGCUUAGAUACCCUGGUAGUCCACGCUGUAAACGGUGGGUACUAGGUGUGGGGUCCAUUCCACGGGUUCCGUGCCGUAGCUAACGCUUUAAGUACCCCGCCUGGGGAGUACGGCCGCAAGGCUAAAACUCAAAGGAAUUGACGGGGCCCCGCACAAGCGGCGGAGCAUGCGGAUUAAUUCGAUGCAACGCGUAGAACCUUACCUGGGUUUGACAUGGAUCGGGAGUGCUCAGAGAUGGGUGUGCCUCUUUUGGGGUCGGUUCACAGGUGGUGCAUGGCUGUCGUCAGCUCGUGUCGUGAGAUGUUGGGUUAAGUCCCGCAACGAGCACAACCCUUGUUCACUGUUGCCAGCACGUUAUGGUGGGGACUCAGUGGAGACCGCCGGGGUCAACUCGGAGGAAGGUGGGGAUGACGUCAAGUCAUCAUGCCCCUUAUGUCCAGGGCUUCACGCAUGCUACAAUGGCUGGUACAGAGAGUGGCGAGCCUGUGAGGGUGAGCGAAUCUCGGAAAGUCGGUCUCAGUUCGGAUUGGGGUCUGCAACUCGACCUCAUGAAGUCGGAGUCGCUAGUAAUCGCAGAUCAGCAACGCUGCGGUGAAUACGUUCCCGGGGCU
rnacentral:rRNA from 1 species